GAUGUCGCCAAGCGGUAAGGCAACGGACUUUGACUCCGUUAUGCGUAGGUUCGAAUCCUACCAUCC
rnacentral:tRNA from 1 species